rnacentral:rRNA from 1 species
GACGAACGCUGGCGGCGUGCCUAAUACAUGCAAGUCGAACGCAGUGGGGACGGGUGAGUAACACGUGGGUAACCUCCCAUCAGAGGGGAUAACACUUGGAAACAGGUGCUAAACCGAUACUGAUGGAUGGACCCGCGGUGCAUGAGCUAGUUGGUGAGGUACCAGCUCACCAAGGCCACGAUGCAUAGACGACCUGCGAGGGUGAUCGGCCACACUGGGACGGGGACACGGCCAAGACGCCUACGGGAGGCAGCAGUAGGGAAUCUUCGGCAAUGGACGAAAGUCUGACCGAGCAACGCCGCGUGAGUGAAGAAGGUUUUCGGAUCGUAAAACUCUGUUAUUAGGGAAGCGGUACCUAUUCAGAAAGCCACGGCUAACUACGUGCCAGCCGCCGCGGUAAUAC